CGUACAGUAGAAAUUAACAUGUUAUAAAUCAACUAUACUCAAAAAACAAAAACCUGGUGUUUAGAACACCAUCAGAAGCAAACUUAGAAAACCUAUUCUGGGGAUGUUUUUAGGAGGGAUGGAGACGGAAAGCAAGUUCACUGUGUAUUGGGUGUGGAGCCCUGCACCAGGACCAGCAAACUACAAGGCUCGCUGCUUUUAAAGGGCCUGUGGUGGGAGGUGCUUUUUAUCUGGCUGGAGACACAUGGAAAAACAGGGCCUUGAAUAUCAUUGAUUCUAACUCUUGAACUGAGAGAGGAGAAACUGGAGCGCCCCUAAGGAGAGGAUCUGGCCAAAAGGCACACAAAAGGCCAGCAGCAUAACUUGUACCGCCUUGUAUGUAGUUUACAGAGACGACACAACAUAGAGGAUGUAUGUGCGGGACACAGAGAAGAGCACCUGCAUUCAUGGCUUCUCAGAGAGGAUUAUGGAGGACUUCUGCUUCCUGAGCCAUACAUUUCUGAAAUGUUCCAUGUUUUAUGUUAAGCCCAUAUUAUUCUUUCAUAAAGAAAAAAAAGUCCCCUUAAAGUUUUACAAUCUAAUAACACGUAACAGCAAAAAACUAUUCAUCAACUAGGAAAGAUUAUACUGAAAUUCACACUACAGAAUACUAUGCCACCAUAAAAAGAAUGUUAGCUGUCUAUGUCCCAUUGUGGAAGAACUAUCACAAUAUUGUUGAGAUUUAUAUAUAUAUAUAUGUAUAUAUAUAAGAGUUCCCUAGUGGGUUAGGGAUCUGGUAUUGUCACUGCUAUGGCUCAGGUUGCCACUGUCUCUUAGGUUCGAUCUUCUGGCCCCACAAAUUAUGCAUGCCACUGAUCAGGGAAAAAUAAAACCAAAAAAACAA